rnacentral:lncRNA from 13 species
UCCUCUCCUCAGACUUCCUAAUUCCAAAAGACACAAUAAUAUUAAAACCAGGCCAAUUAAGAACCCUACAUCCAUCUACAAGUGUUCAAGUGUAAGAAAGAGUCAUACAUCUCUCACUCUAAAUCAUAAACUAGAAAUGACUAAAGCUUAGUGAGGAAGUCAUGCCAAAACUAAGACAGGUCGAAAGCUAUGCCUUUUGUGCCAAAGAACCAAGUUGUAAAUGCAAAAAAAAAAAAAAAAAAAAAAAAAAAAAAAAAAAAAAAAAAAAAAAAAAAAAAAAAAAAAAAAAAAAAAAAAAAAAAAAAAAAAAAAAAAAAAAAAAAAAAAAAAAAAAAAAAAAACAAAUGUGCUACUCUAGUGAACACAGAAAUAAUAAAAUAAAAAUAAGCAGCCUUAUGUUGGUAUGGAGAAACAUUUUAGGUGUCUGGAUAGGAGAUAAAACCAGCCACAGGCCGCGCACGGUGGCUCACGCCUGUAAUCCUAGCACUCUGGGAGGCCGAGGCAGGCGGAUCACGAAGUCAAGAGAUCAAGACCAUCCUGGCCAACAUAGUGAAACCUCGUCUCUACUAAAAUAUAAAAAACUAGCUGGGCGUGGUGGCGUGCGUCUGUAGUCCCAGCUACUCGGGAGGCUGAGGCAGGAGAAUUGCUUGAACCCAGGAGGCGGAGGUUGCAGUGAGCGGAGAUGGCGUCACUGCACUCCAGCCUGGUGCCUGGCGACCGAGCAAGACUCUUUCUCAAAAAAAAGAAAAAAACAAAACAACAACAACAAAAAAACCUGCCACAGCAUUCCCACAAACUGAAGGCUAAUCUGGAGCAAGACCCUAACUCUCUUCAAUUCCGUGAAGUUCCAAAGAGAAAUAUCUGGUCGGGUGCGAUGGCUCAAGCCUGUAAUCCCAGCACUUUGGGAGGCCGAGGUGGGUGGAUCAUGAGGUCAAGAGCUCGAGACCAUCUUGGUCAACAAGGAAUUGGCCUACAUGUUUAUGGAAGUUUGCAGGAAAGUGCUAGCAAAGAGAAAGAAGCAAAGUCUCACUCCAAGGAGAUGCCUUCGAAGUCCACUUUGUUCCCUGGGUUCACCUGUAUUCUCAGGCAAACUGCUACCAUGAAACUCCCCACACAAGAUGUGAAAGCCAAGAGGAAAGAGUUGAAGGUUCUGAAGAAGCUUCCAUGUGGUGAGAGAGUACAUGGAGGGGGCCAUACGAAGGGGGCCAUGUGGCAAGGAACUGUAGCUGCCACUGAGUGCUUCGAGCAAUCCCUGACCAACAGUAAGAACAUAGAACCACAGUGCAACAGUUGCAAAGAGAUGAAUUUUGUUAACAACAUGAAGAUGUUGGAAAUGGAUUAUUCUCUAGUCCAGGCUAUGAUCACCACAGCCCUGGUCAACACCUGAAUUUCAGCCUGGUGAGACCCUGGAGCAGAGAACUCACCUAGGAUAUGCCUGACUUCUGUCUUACAGAAACACAAAAAUAAUAAAUGUGUGCUAUUUUAAGCUGCA